UUGAAAGGGAAACGAUUGAAGUCAGUCGUACUUGCGGGUAAUCAGCCUUUUGGGUGUGAUUCUGUGGAGUGUGAGGAGUUAAACGCCUUCAUGCCUGCAUAUUCGUGCACUUUGGGUGUACUUGCCCGUGUGGUAGGUUAACAUCAAUUUCGGAUAUCAUAAAAUGGCUGGAGGAAUGUAGCUUCGGUCUCGUACUGAAGUGUUAUAGCCUCUGGUAGAUGUGAUGACCGGGAUUGAGGAUUGCAACGAAUACCUUUUGGGCUACCCGCCUGAUCUCUGAAAGUUGCUCUGGUGCCGAAAGCUUGCUUACGGUUAUCAAAGUUGACGUUCAAAAGGUUAGAACGGGUUAAAUUCGUUAAGGAUGUUGACGUA
rnacentral:rRNA from 1 species